GACAGAGGGUGCAAGCGUUGUUCGGAAUUAUUGGGCGUAAAGGGCGCGUAGGCGGCUUUGUAAGUCAGAUGUGAAAUCCCAGGGCUUAACCCUGGAAGUGCAUCUGAUACUGCUUGGCUUGAGUCCUGGAGAGGGUGGUGGAAUUCCUGGUGUAGAGGUGAAAUGCAUAGAUACAAUCAAGAACACCGAUUGCGUAGGCAGCUUACUAGGCUGUAACUGACGCUGAGGCACGAAAGCGUGGGGAGCGAACAGG
rnacentral:rRNA from 1 species